GAUUUCAAGGGCCGACAGGAAGCCUCGAUCGGGGAACUCUGACCUUGCGGAGGAAACUUGUUUCCCUUUUUUUCUUCCCGCCGACUUUCACUCGAUAAAACCCUGCUUUAUUCACCCUUUAAACCUUCUCCAAACCUAAAUUUUCCUGGCCUUGGGACGGACAAGAACCCAGUCUUCAGAUGAAGGAAGGAAAAGUCCUGCAACAUUCUUGGCGUGCAACGUUGGGGCUCUUGAAGAGCUCCAGAAUUGGGAUUCUAUUUUCAAGGAAUGUCCUAGACAACAUGGCAUUAUUAAUUGAAAAGGAAAUAUAUUCCAGAAAUCUAUUCUGUUACCAGCUGUAUCAGAAUUCCACAGUGCAUCUGGUUCUUGGGCAAGUCACUGAAACGUGGGUCAAAUGUUGAAAGCUACUGUACUGUGAUGUGAAAAUAAAGAAAGCUACAGGACUCAGCAAACAUGCUUAGAUAUCUGCUUCAGUGUGAAACGUAUAAUGAAAGAAGACUUCAUAAGCAGCUGUUUCUUAAGAAGCUUGUGUUAUACAAAUAUGACACAGUUAAUGAACAGAACUAGAGAGCAAUCUGCUACAUCUGUCUUCAAAGGACAAGGAAGAUAGCAAUCAAUACUGUAUUUACGACGGCAUUUUUCACCUGAAAAGUUUCCACUUAUCUACCGCUUCUGUCUAAGAAAGACAGGCUUUUUUUUUACUUAAAAUUUCUCCCUUGCUGCUUACCUAUUUUAGUGGUAGCAGCAGUUGUAUAAACUUAGUAAGAAUAGUUAUUAAUGUGUAAACUGAAUUAAUUAAUAUCUCUUUGAACAAAACAAAUGGAAGUGUGCCUAACCACUGUUUCUAUCACUGGCUGAGGGAAAGAAGGCAUUUCCGUAGCUGGAGCAGGUAAUAAAAUACAGAGCCAGAGAAGAGAGCACUAUACAGGAAUCAUUUUUUAAAGGAAAGAAGACAAAGUGUGCCAAUUCCAUUUUAAAGAUGAAGGAGACAAAGAUUCUGAAGGGUAUAUAUCCAAAGAUAAUAAAAACGUGAAAUUUUCUGUCUUGGAUUCUGUAUUUUUAUCUGUAAUAUUAUAAGUGUACAUCUAAGCUAAAGUUCUAGAAUAAUCUCUAUAUGUUAAGCAUACUUAAUGCUGUCUUAGAGUCCUAA
rnacentral:lncRNA from 1 species